UCCUAGGCAGUCCAGUGGUUAAGACUCUGCACUUCCACUGCAGGGGGUUCUGGUUCAAUCCCUGGUUUGGGAA
rnacentral:tRNA from 1 species